rnacentral:rRNA from 1 species
UAACGGCAAGUAAAGCGGCAACAGCUUAAAUUUGAAAUCCGGCCGCCUAGCGGCCCGAGUUGUAAUUUGCAGAGGACGCUUUAGGCGAGGUACCUUCCGAGUUCCCUAGAACGGGACGUUAUAAAGGGUGAGAGCCCCGUACGGUCGGCGUCCGAGCCCGUAUAAAGCUCCUUCGACAAGUCGAGUAGUUUGGGAAUGCUACUCCAAAUGGGAGGUAAACCCCUUCUAAAGCUAAAUACCGGCCAGAGACCGAUAGCGCACAAGUAAAAUAAUCGAAAGAUAAAAAGCACUUUGAAAAGAGAGUUAAAAAGUACGUGAAAUUAUUAAAAGGGAAGCGCUUGUGGCUAGACUUACGCCCGGCAGCUUAGCCGUCCUUUCGGGCGGUAUACUCUGCCGGGCAUAGGCCAAUAUUAGCUCCCGGUCGGGGAGAAAGGCGGUAGGAACGUGGCUCCUCGGAGUAUUAUAGCCCGCCGCUAUGCCCUUCCGGGGACUAAGGUUCGCGUACCCGUAAGGAUACUGGCGUAAUGGCCACUAGCGACCCGUCUUGAAACACGGACCAAGGAGUCGUCCUAGUAUACGAGUAUUCGGGUGCUAAACCCCUACGCAUAAUGAAAGUGAACGGAGGUGAGAGCUUCGGCGUAUUAUCGACCGAUCCUGAUAUUCUCGGAUGGAUUUAAGUAUAAGUAUACUAGGCCGGACCCGAAAGAAGGUAAAUUAUGCUUAUAUAGGGUAAAGCUAGAGGAAACUCUGGUGGAGGCUCGUAGCGGUUCUGACGUGUAAAUCGAUCGUUAAAUAUAAGUAUAAGGGCGAAAGUAAGUCGAACCAUUAUCUCUUGAGCGGGCGGGCCGCGUGCCCGUCCGCGCCUCGCGGAAGUAAUUAAUGCUAAUUAUUAAUUUUUUAUAGGAUUAAUCGAACCUUUUAGUAGCUGGUUUCCGCCGAAGUUUCCCUUAGGAUAGUAGUGUUAAGCUUAGUUUUAUGAGGUAAAGCGAAUGAUUAGGGACUCGGGGGCGUUUAUUAGCCUUUAUCUAUUCUUAAACUUUAAAUAUAUAAGA